CUAAAGUCAAAGCAUUGUGUGCUGAGAGAUGGGCUCGCGUCUUAUUAGCUAGAUGGCGGGGUAACGGCCCACCAUGGCGACGAUCAGUAGCCGGUCUGAGAGGAUGAACGGCCACAUUGGGACUGAGAUACGGCCCAGACUCCUACGGGAGGCAGCAGUGGGGAAUAUUGGGCAAUGGGGGAAACCCUGACCCAGCAACGCCGCGUGAAGGAAGAAGGCCUUCGGGUUGUAAACUUCUUUUAGCAGGGACGAAGGACGUGACGGUACCUGCAGAAAAAGCAACGGCUAACUACGUGCCAGCAGCCGCGGUAGUACGUAGGUUGCAAGCGUUGUCCGGAUUUACUGGGUGUAAAGGGCGUGUAGGCGGAGCUGCAAGUCAGAUGUGAAAUCCCGGGGCUCAACCCCGGAACUGCAUUUGAAACUGUAGCCCUUGAGUAUCGGAGAGGCAAGCGGAAUUCCUAGUGUAGCGGUGAAAUGCGUAGAUAUUAGGAGGAACACCAGUGGCGAAGGCGGCUUGCUGGACGACAACUGACGCUGAGGCGCGAAAGCGUGGGGAGCAAACAGGAUUAGAUACCCUGGUAGUCCACGCUGUAAACGAUGAAUACUAGGUGUGGGAGGACUGACCCCUUCCGUGCCGCAGUUAACACAAUAAGUAUUCCACCUGGGGAGUACGACCGCAAGGUUGAAACUCAAAGGAAUUGACGGGGGCCCGCACAAGCAGUGGAUUAUGUGGUUUAAUUCGACGCAACGCGAAGAACCUUACCAGGACUUGACAUCCAACUAACGAAGUAGAGAUACAUUAGGUGCCCUUCGGGGAAAGUUGAGACAGGUGGUGCAUGGUUGUCGUCAGCUCGUGUCGUGAGAUGUUGGGUUAAGUCCCGCAACGAGCGCAACCCCUAUUGUUAGUUGCUACGCAAGAGCACUCUAGCGAGACUGCCGUUGACAAAACGGAGGAAGGCGGGGACGACGUCAAAUCAUCAUGCCCCUUAUGUCCUGGGCUACACACGUAAUACAAUGGCCGUCAACAGAGGGAAGCGAAACUACGAAGUGGAGCAAAAUCCCUAAAAACGUUCUCAGUUCGGAUUGCAGUUUCCCAGUCA
rnacentral:rRNA from 1 species